rnacentral:rRNA from 1 species
GACGAACGCUGGCGGCGUGCUUAACACAUGCAAGUCGAACGGAAAGGCCCCUUUGGGGGUCCUCGAGUGGCGAACGGGUGCGUAACACGUGAGUAACCUGCCCUUGACUUCGGGCUAACUUCAGGAAACUGGGGCUAAUACCGGAUAGGAAUCAUUGCUGCAUGGUGGGGGUUGGAAAGCUUCGGCGGUUUUGGAUGGACUCGCGGCUUAUCAGCUUUUUGGUGGGGUAGUGGCUUACCAAGGCUUUGACGGGUAGCCGGCCUGAGAGGGCGCCCGGCCACAAUGGGACUGAGGGACGGCGCAGACGCCUACGUGAGGCAAUGGUGGGAAAUCUUGCCGAAUGGGGGCGAGCCUGAGGAGGAGGCUCCCCGUUCGUGAAGACGGGUUUGUGGUGGAGAACCGUGGUGAGAAUGGGAGAAGCUUGUGGUGACGGUACCUGCAGAAGAAGCACCGGCUAACUACGUG